rnacentral:misc_RNA from 1 species
AAACUGUGGUCUCAGCUGCUGUGCUUUUUGAAAAUUUUUAGUUUGGAAUGCACCAGAUUGAGUGGGUUUGGGUUGAGGUUUUUGAACUUAUUUAUAUUUGAAUUUUAUCUCAUAGAAUAUUAUAAUAGCUUAGAAAUCAUCUAUAAAUGAAAACAACAAAUCUCAGAAUAAUUAGUGGAGAAAUAAAUGGUGGAUUUGAGACGUGCAUCAGACGAGAGCUAGCUUGUGAUAUAUAAUUUUGUUGUAUUAAGAACG